GUGGGGACUUCAAUAAGAUCUACAUAGUCUAAAAUUAGAAUUAUACAGAGUAGAUGAGCAUGGCCGCUACGCAAGGAUGACACUCAUGUGUGAAGUCGUCCAUAUUUAA